AAAAAAAAGACUGAGUACACAGUAAAUAGCAUUUAAUAUUUGUUGAGUGCAUGUUGGACCUAAACAGACAAUCUAGGUUUGACUCUCAACCGCAUUUUUGUGUGAAAGACGGUGCCCUUCCACAACUUGUAUUCUUUUUUGCACAGAUAGAGUUAAUAACUUUUGUCUUUCAGUGUUAUUUUUAUUUUUAUUUGUUUUUAGAGACAGGGUCUUGCUUUGUCACCCUGACUGAAGUGCAGUGGCAUAAUCAUAGCUCACUACAGCCUCAAACUCCUAGGCCUAAGUGAUCCUACUCCUUAGCCUCCUGAGGAGGGACUACAGGUGCAUACCACCAUGCCUAGCUAAUUUUUUUUUUAUUUAAUUUUUUGGAGAUGGAUCUUGCAAUGUUGCCCAGGCUGGACUCAAUCUCCUGGCCUCAAGUGAUUUUGCCUCAGCCUCUGGAGUAGCUUUCCAUGUUACUGAGAGGAUCAAAGGAGUGUAUAAGUGCUGAGCACAGUUCUUGAUACAUAGUAGGUACUUGGUAAAUGUUACUUGUCACUGAAUCUGAUUCGUGACUUCCAAAACCAUUUUAUACUUUAUCUUGGCUAUCAGGUGUGCAGUAGCUUUAUUGCAAAGGCUUUUGAUGUGCCUGUGGACAGGGUUAUGUUCAUUAAACCAAAUUCUCUUCUAGUAGUUGUUCUGUUUGAAUCCAGAUUUCCAAAGGUAAGAGACAAAUGUAGUUAGUCUGCUUGAGUGAUAUUCACAGGGAAUCUGCUGUUGCUUCAUGUUAUUUUCAUCUUUCUGGUAAUCUCUCUCCUGAGAGCGUGUCUGACUAAGUUCUUGCCUGGCUGAUAAUUCUCAUAGAAAUAAAUCAGUGAGUAAUUUUAAUGCAGGCUUCUUGAAGGGCAGUCUUAAGACAUUUCUGAUGCUUCAUGUAAUGUUAGAUAGCAUCAAGAAUUGAUCUGUUAGCUCCCAGAUUUAUGACUUUGUUCACCAGGGUUUGCUGUGGGGUUCUGGGUUGUAUAAGAACCCUAGUUAGCUUGCUGCUGAGUGAGCUCAGUGUAUGGUCUCAUGAAAUUCAUUCAGUAGAGCUGCUGUGAGUGCUCAUGAUGUACCAGGCACUGUGCUAGGCCCUUAGGAACCAUAAGCUGUGCUGGUUGCUCAAGCAGCAUCAGUCAGUAAGUAUAUAUUGGGUAUUGUCUUGGUCUAUUUGGGCUGCUAUAACAAAAUACCGUAAACUGGGUGGCUUAUAAACAACAAAAAUUUAUUUCUCACAGUUCUGGAGACUGGGAAGUUCAAGACCAAGGCACCAGCAGUUUUGGUGUCUGGUGAGGGUCUGCUUCCAGGUUUGUAGAUAGCUGUUUUCUCACUGCGUCCUCACAUGGUGGAAGGAGUGAGGGAGCUCGCUGUGUCUCUUUUUAGGACACUAAUCCCAAGGGCCCCACCUCCAAGUACCAUCACAUUGGGGAUAGGCUUCAACAUAUGAAUCUGUGGGGGGAUAUAAACAUUCCAUCUUUGGCAGGUAACUGCCAUAUGCCUAGCUCUAUUCUGGGCACUAAUGGUGUUCACAGACUCAGUGACUACGAGUUCUGGUUGUUACUUCACAUUUCAGUUCACCUACAGAAGGGUAGAUUUCAGAAUCUGAUCAGACCUUAGAGAGGACUUAGCUCAGUACCUUGUUUGUUUCUACUUAGUGACAAGUGUGAAGUCCAGAUGUUGGACAGCUAACUUGAAGUUAAGACAGGCACUCCAGGUCUGUGAUUUUCAGUCCGGUGUUCCUCCAGUGCACCUCAGGUCUUCCUGUGGGAUUUACGACAUUGCUGACAGAGUCGCAUGGUCACCUGUUACCCUGUAUAUUAUUAGUACAGAAAUGACUUAUUUUCUUUCUGGAAACACCACUCUCAUUCUUUUUUCUAUUCCUGCUAACUCAAAAUAAUAGUAGCUGCUUUUGGAAGAUACUGACAUUUUGCUGAUUCACCAGCCUGGCUCCUGCCGGGGAGAAGACUGACACAAAAAACGCUGCUCGACAUCGGCAUAUUUGGGAAAGGCAAGGGCACAGAUGUUCCAAGUUGUUAAGUUCUGGUCUUUAAAAAGGGAAAAAACACAUCCCCCUAUAAUAACUUUGACAGAUUGCCAUUUCCCUCCUGUUUUCUGAGAGCUAAACUGUUUUUUUUUUCCUCUUGUAUGCCAACCUGCACCCAACUGCCCUAAUGAUAUUUUUUAAAAUCUGAUGUUUAAUUAUGUCUUACAUCAAAUUUAAAGUGCAUUUGAAAUUUUUUAAAUUACCUUAAUUUUAAUUAGAGGCAGCAAAUAGGGGUAAAUGUCAUCCUCCUCAAAGUACGAUUUUUCUUGAAAGUGAUUUCAGGAAAGGGCAGGUCCUCUUGACUUGCAUCUACCAUAUCCUCUGUUGGUCGUAAUGUUGCUCUCCCUGCAACAUUGCACUCUGCUGCUUGUCUUAUCUGUGAUCUAUAAUAGAAAUUUUUCUUCAGGAAACGGUUGUUAACAAUUUACUGUUGUACAGCUGUAACUGCCCAAAACACCUUAGCAUGAAUAAACAAUUUCAUGGCAGUCAUGACUUAAAUUUUUAAUCUUUUUUAACUCUUCAUUUAUCAACCAAGACCAUAUAUGGCUGGUUAUGUUCCCAGCAAGCACAGGUCAUCUUUGCUUCAUCCUCCUCUGUGAAAACAUAAACUGUAGGGAUUUUAAUUCAAUCAGAGCCUGGUUUGUUGUAACCUUAAGAGGCAGAGGAUGUGAGAAAACAGCUUGUGCCUCAUCCUUUCAACCGUGAGAAGCAGCUUCAGAGUUUAUUCUGGCGCUCUGCAUCACUGCUGCUGGUGAGGGCUUGUCAGCGCUUCUGUGCCUCAUCUGCCCCCUUGAGAGGCUGGAGCCCAGCUAUCGGUUGGCUGCAGAAUGGAUUCUGAUCUGUGAAGAGCAUAUCUUGGGGGUGGGGAGCACACACCUCACAUGGUUUUGGAGGGUUACUCUAAAUGCAGUCGGAGGCAGCAGAAGGUGGAAUCCAGCAGCUGCUGCCUUUUCAAAAUAAUGCUUUUUAAACACUUUUUCCUUUAAAGUAAUUCAUUAAACGUGUUUAGAGCUCCUUUCUUGUGAACCUUUUAGAGUGUUUCUAUGGAAAAAUAAAACCAAAGGUACAUUUAAAGAUAUUUUCUUAAGGUAUUGCUAAAAAAUCCAUUUUUGUGGACUGCUUUAAGCCAGAUUUACUCAGUUGGCCCAAAGGAACAAGGAGGAAUAAAAGGGAAAAAAACAAACCACAACAACGAUCACAUGGCACCAAAUUGAUAAAUAUUCUGUUUUUGUAUGUCUUUUGCCAUGUUCUUAAUUUGAGUGGUCAGUUGAGUCCCUUCUAAAGUUUUUUUGGUAGAUCACUGUUAUUUACUGGGUUCUUCCUUUGUAUGCUAAGUGUGUUGGAUGCUAAUAAAAAAUAAUAACUCCAGUUUAAAGCAAAAACUCUCAAAUUACCACCCUCCCCCACCAUGGUGUGUGUGGAAAGUGCCUUGGGAACAGUAUGCUCAGGAAACACCACUGAUUGGAGCCCUGAGAAGGUGUGGGUCAUCUCUGGCUUGGGGGUGUGGGGAGUGGAGAUGGGUAAGCUUUUGACAGACAUGGAGAUUAGCAUGCAUUUCAGGUUUAUUUUUGUAGUCUCUCCCUUUGCAGUGGAAAUUGCCAUUCCUCCUACUCCGGAUGGAAGCUGAUGUGGUCUUGCUGGCUGCCCAUGUAGUCACUACAAAUUUAUCAAGAAAACCAGGAGAACUUACAGAGUUGUCAAGUGAGUUUUGUGAAGAAUUACUGUGGGAAUUCGGAAAAUACGGAGGAGACAGGUUUUUUAGACCAACAGGGAUCAACUGAACUUGAGUAGUCUGGGUCUGAGAAUACUAAAGUGGAACAAACUGACUGAGACUUACCGUGUUAUCCCAGAAGGUGCGUACAGUAGUCAAGGGUGCCUUGUGUUACAGACCCAGUGCUAAUGAGCAAGAAUAGGGCUGGGAAGGAUUUGAGCCCCCUAAGGGGCUUUCUUCUAAUUGGACUGGGAGGGAGUUGGUAUUUGCUCCAUUGCUGUCCCGUAAGCACUGUCUAACAAGACUUACAUAUUUUGAGCUGUUAUUUUGCUAGGAGCUAUAUUUGUCUUGAUAUUUCCAGAAUUAAAAUUACAUUUAGAAGAAUUUACUUCUUUUUCUCAUCUGUCAUCUGACUUCCUUGAUAUGUAUUGAUAAGCCACUUAUUUUUUGGAACCAAUUAAAUGUGCUCUGAAGAUAAACAUCUUAGGUUAAAAGUGCCAAAAUGGCAAUGUAGAAGAAGGAUCUUUUAAUGUAACUUGAAACAAACAGACAAACACACAAAACCUGGUACCACAUUAAUGUAACUUUUGGUCUUGUUUAUGGGUUUUAGGUAAAAUCUAUGUCCCUGGAAGAUUAGGGUGGUUGUAGCCUGCCUUGGACAUUUCCCCUGUGGCAUGUUACUCCCCACUGGCAUUUAAGAAGGACUUAAUAAAUGUUGAAUGAGUACAUUUUCUCCUUCAUAUUAGUUUGAUCUAGGAUGGGGAUAAGAGUCCAGGUUCAUUCUAGGUGGCUUUGUGCCAGCUGCUUUAAAAGGAGAAAAAGACCAUUUUGUCUGUUUUGAAAUUCAUCUGCAUUAAUUGAGCUAUAUCUAAUUACUGUCCUAGUCUAGAAAUUAAAGAAAAGAUAUUUUUUAACUCACAUUUAUUGCAUUAAUCAGUUAUAUUCUCUGAAUCUAUACUGGUUUAUUUGUCUUAAGAAAGCCUUUUUGAAAUGACUUUUAAAAAGCCAUCUGCUUAAUACAUCUUAUUUCUCUUUUUUUUUUUUAAUAACUUUGUUCCUUGUGGAGUCAUCUCAUUGGAGAUUAAUGAGAUUAAUGCUUAAUUUCUGUACCAAGACUCUAAGUGGGAUAUGGCUCCAAAACAAAUAUCCACAGCCAAAAAAUAGAAGUAAACACCACUCUUUUUUUCCAAGAGCCAUUGUGUUAUGGACCAUUUCGUGCCCAGCUGGUCUUUUCUGGUUUACCUAUUAUUACACUAACUUAUUGCCCCAGUAGUGGACAGGUACAGAGGGAGUGCGUGGGUGGCCUUUCUACUCGACAUGACAAAAUAGGCUAUCAAAAACUGUGUUUUAGUAAUUCGCAGGGAGACAGGCUCUCUCUUUUCCUAUUAUACUUGGACAGAAGAGCCUUUUACCUUGUGAAAUGAAAUUGUAACUACAGAGGAAAAACCUAUCACCCAUGCCCAGAGUCUGCUUGUGAAGAAAUGCUGGAGGGAUAGCCAACCAUGCUGAAUUUUCUCAUCAAGAUUGAGAGUUUGUCUGUCUUUAGUUUUGAUUCUCAUUCCUCUUUCUGGUCUUCAAAUGACCUCUGUCUCCUGGGUCAUAUUGUAUUACUCAGGAGUUGAUGAUGACAAUUACAGACUUAUUACUGCCUUGCUGAAAUGCUAUUUUGUGAAAGUUGGGAAUUUAUAUAAAAUCAGUUAGUGGUAGGAUUGAUGAGAUGUUUACCAGGCCUGGUAGGUAGCUGAUUUCUUGUUUGACUUCUCAACUGAGGCAGGAAAGUAGGCAAGGAGAUACCACUGAAAUAUGAUAAGAAACAAGUUUUCCUGGAAAAGCCAUUUAUGCUCUUCUAUAAAAUCACUUUUGUCUAAAAUGUUUCUUAUUUUUUAAGUUUCUAGGUUUCAUGUGACACAUUUGUGAACAUGGUAUAAGACUAAUCAAAGAAAAAUGUGAUAUCUGGCCCACAAGACCUUAGAGGCUGAAAAAGGACUUGAUCAAUCUGAAUCUCUGUGGCAUAGCUGAAAUAUGAAAUUAGGUCUUCCAACCCAUUGUGACCCGGAAAGGGGGGACCAUGCUCUUGUUAGCUUAAACUUCAGAUUUUAGAGGCUUUUGGAAAAAUGAAGGCAAUAGUGAGCGCUUUGGGCAUUCUGUGGGAAGACAAUCUGUAUUAUAGUGCUUUCAUAGUUCUUGAGUAUUUUAACUUCCUUGGCCUUUGACAUACCUGAUCUCAUUUAUUCCUUAUAGCUACUCAGUGGAAGAGGCUGGGCAGAGACUAUUACCCUAGUUUUACAGAUGAGGAAAUUAAGCUGUAGGGAAAUAAAGGAGCUUGCACAAGAUUACAUGGCUGGUGAUAAUUUUGGGACCAUUCAGGUCACUAAAGAUGUGAGGCAAAGAUGAAUAUGACACGACCCCAGUUUUACAGAUGAGGAAAUUAAGCUGUAAGGAAAUAAAGGGGCUUGCACAAGAUUACAUGGCUGGUGAUAAUUUUGGGACCAUGUGAGGCAAAGAUGAAUAUGACAUGACCCUUGUCCUCAAGCUUGCAUUGACUCUUCAUCUGUUGGUCUUUCAGAUAUACUCCACUUGUCUUUUUGAGGCUACUGUUUAAUAAUCAUCACAUACUAGUUAAUAAGUUUAUUAACUAGAAUUUAAUCAUGCAUGGUGUUAUUCAAGAGAUGUAAUGAUAACACUACUUAUUGCAUUAUUGCAUGCUGAUUUAGAUCCUUGUUCUAUAGACAUCUUAUUUAUGUAUUUAUUUAUUUGCUUUUUUUUUUUUUUUUUUUUGAGAGACUGGGUCUCACUAUGUUGCCCAGGCUGGUUUCAAACUCCUGGACUCAGGCAAUCCUCCUGCCUUGGCCUCCCAAAGUGCUGGGAUUAUAGGUGUAAGCCACCGUGCCCAGCCCAGUUGUCCUGUAGACAUCUGACUCCACAGUGGGUGGAUGGGUGGAUGGAUGGAUUUAGGUGAAUGUUGCUAUGCAUAUUAAAUAAGCAUUUGAAUGGAUUAUGAACUUUUCAAGAGAAUAAAUAUGGGAGUUUCUUGGAAGAGUGGGGAGGUGUUAACAUUUUAUUCUUUUCCUUGAGUCUUUUACUAAUUUAUGGUGGAAUUAAAUGAUAGUUCUUUUCUCUGUGGUUACAACAGGGUCAAUAGCUAGAAUUAACCUGAAUGUAGCCGUGUUUAAACUGAGUGUAUAUCCCCUUAUGCAUUAAUAUGAAGUAUAGUUGGCAAUAGCAUUGUUAUUGAAAUCAGAUGGACCUAACAUUCUCCCUUACUAUUGCAGUGACCUUUAGAUAACUUUUUUUUUUUUUUGAGACAGGGUCUCGCUUUAUCACCCAGGCUGGAGUGCAGUGGCACAAUCUCAGCUCAUUGCAGCCUCCAACUCCUGGGUUCAAACAAUUCUCCUGCCUCAGCCUCCUGAGUAGCUGGGAUUACAGGCAUGUGCCACCACACCUGUCUGAUUUUUGUAUUUUUAGUAGAGACAGGUUUCACCAUAUUGGCCAGGCUGGUCUUGAACUCCUGACCUCAAGUAAUCCGCCCACCUCGGCCUCCCAAAGUGCUAGAAUUAUAGGCAUGAGCCACCACAGGCCAGAGAUCUUAACCACUACUAGCUUUACCUUUCUUAUCUGUUAAAUAGUGCUUACACCGAAUCUUAUAAUGCUGCUGAAAGAAUUCCAGUAGCAUAGCACCAGACAUGAUGCUGUGACUUUUAAAAAUGGCGGCUAUUAUUAUGACAACUUUUAAUUUUAGAGAGGGAGAACUACUAAUUCCUGCUAGUCAAGGGUAGCUCUAGGGUUUCUAGGGGUUAGUUUGCUAACCUGGUUAUUUUUGCUGUUUUUUAUUAUAAUUGAUUCAAAUAAUUUGUGUGUUUCGGUUUACUCUGUAUCAGGCAUAUAUGUUGACUCUGUCAACAGCUUUCUGAUUAUUUUUUAGAUGAAGAUGCUAAGCAUGAAGGACUUUUGUCCAAAGACCUUUAAGCUCUUUACUCAUAUUAAGUUUUGGGUAAAUAUCACCUUUAAGAGUGAAGGAGUAAGACACAGAAAGCAUAGUUAAUUAUUCGUGAUGGUCAGCUGGUCAGUUAGAGAUGAGUAAAGCAAACCUUCAAGUAAUUUUUCUUUCAGCAAAAGACCUGCAUGUAAUACCCAGAACAUCAGUCAUCAGCUAGCAAGUCCUGUCAUUCUUGUUCUUAUAUUCUGCAUCUUUUAUUUUUUCUUUUAAGUGAAACUGCCCUGAUUCUGACCUUUGUUGAAUCUUCUGGAUUCUGUUGUAUGUAGUAGCUUUGGAAUAGGUCUUUCUCCUUCAGGCCUGGCUCCCACAACUACCCACACAUGCUGUCCACAUGGUGGCUCCUGUGUGCCACCCCCGUCCCUCAUGCUCACCGUGCUUUAGUGCGUCCUGCACACAGCUUUUAGCUUAUUCUUUCCAAAUACUAUUUUCUUCAGCUAGUUACAAUUUUCUCUCCCUUUUCCACUUCCUUCCCCUCUCCUCCAAUCCUUUCUUCUCUUCAAAUGCCUUUGUACAUUCCAGUCUCUCUGCUUUUAUUCCUUUGGUUUUGCUUUCUAGUCUCCCUGUCCUCAUAUUUUUAGUUGCCUGUUUUCUGAGCAGUCUUCUUCUAGCAAGUCAUAACUAAUUCCCCAGCUCCAUCUGAUUGCUCCUUUUCAGGACGCCUGCAGUUCAUAUUGUCUGUGUGUAUUCUUCAUUUGUUACAUGUUGGUUAUGUCCUGUGGUGUAUGGUUUUUAAAAUUGUUUUAGAUUAUCUAUCUUUCUCAUUUUACAGAUGAGGAAACUGAGGCCCAGAAUGAAGAAUGGAUUGGCCUUUAUCAUGUUCAGUACUUUAGUCAUCAUGGGCAUUCAAUAAAUGCAGUUUGCUGGA